GCCUGGGUGGCUCAGUGGUUGAGCGUCUGACUUUGGCUCAGGCUGUGAUCCUGGACCUAGGAUCAGGUCCCCCAGGUC
rnacentral:tRNA from 1 species